rnacentral:tRNA from 1 species
GCCUGGCAAGCUCAGUAGGUAGAGCACGUGACUCUUGAUCUCAGGGUCAUGAGUUCAAGCCUCAUGUUGGGUG